UGCCCGCGAGGGGAGCCCUAGCACAGGUGCUGCAUGGCCGUCGUCAGCUCGUGCCGUGAGGUGUUGGGUUAAGUCCCGCAACGAGCGCAACCCCCGCCGUUAGUUGCCAGCGGUUCGGCCGGGCACUCUAACGGGACUGCCCGCGAAAGCGGGAGGAAGGAGGGGACGACGUCUGGUCAGCAUGGCCCUUACGGCCUGGGCGACACACGUGCUACAAUGCCCACUACAAAGCGAUGCCACCCGGCAACGGGGAGCUAAUCGCAAAAAGGUGGGCCCAGUUCGGAUUGGGGUCUGCAACCCGACCCCAUGAAGCCGGAAUCGCUAGUAAUCGCGGAUCCAGCCAUGCCGCGGUGAAUACGUUCCCGGGCCUU
rnacentral:rRNA from 1 species